rnacentral:rRNA from 1 species
AGGAACACGUGAGUGACCUACCCGCAAGUUUGGAACAGCUCCUGGAAACGGGAAUUAAUACCGGAUGUGAUCGAUGAACUGCAUGGUUUAUUGAUUAAAGCAGCAAUGCGCUUGCGGAUGGGCUCGCGUCCCAUUAGCUAGUUGGUGAGGUAACGGCCCACCAAGGCCAUGAUGGGUAGCUGGUCUGAGAGGACGACCAGCCACACUGGGACUGAGAACUGCCCAGACUCCUACGGGAGGCUGCAGUCGAGAAUUUUGGGCAAUGGACGAAAGUCUGACCCAGCAAAUGCCGCGUGCGGGAUGAAGGUCUUCGGAUUGUAAACCGCUUUCAGCAGGGACGAGGCGCAAGUGACGGUACCUGCAGAAGAACGCCCCGGCUAACUACGUGCCAGCCGCGGC